CAGAAGGAAUGGGACAGGAACAAGAACCUUUGAAAUUUGGCCUCAAGAAGACAACAGGAGGAGUGGAACAGGAACAAGAAGCUUGGAAAUUUGGCCACGGAAGAUAACAGGUGGAACUGGACAGCAAGACGGAGGUUCGACGAAAUUCGAAACUUUACCUAAAGAAACAUCAAAACUUCA